rnacentral:misc_RNA from 1 species
AGUUUCCUGGAAUUGAUGUUUUGUUGGCAAAUUAUCCCCCGUCACUACCCAAGCGCCUGUUGGCCAAGUUGGUGCCGGUAGUUCAGAUAGGAGUUAUUGCAAUUGUGAUGGCUGGUGAGCAGAUUUUUCCAAUGCUGGGCCUCAUGGCACCACCUCCUUGGUAUUAUUCUUUGCGUGCAAAUAAAUUUGGAACAAUGGCGUCGACUUGGCUACUUGGUAACGCA